GAGGGUAUAGCUCAGUGGUAGAGUGCGUGCUUAGCAUGCACUAGGUCCUGGGUUCAAUCCCCAGUACCUCCU
rnacentral:tRNA from 1 species